UUGGUGCUAUGUUUACGUAGGCAGAGGAUUGAGUAUCUACGCAGGCCCGAACGGCCAAUAGGCAAUUAGUUAUCGUUACAAUACACGCAUGUGGCAGUCACGGCCGUGUUUCUAUGCUAUGCUAUGCGGCAUGCGCUGUUCGUAGUUCGUUCUCCUUGUCGUCCAUCUUGAAAUAGUUUCGUGAGCUGUGUGUGUUUACUGUGUUUGUUUUGUCUGGAGGAAAUUAAUUGUACUUUGUCAUGAGUGAUUGAAAUGGAUUCUGAUUCAACAUAGUGAUGGACAUGUUUAAACAUCUGCUAAAAAACAAAAUGACAUAACCGAUUUUGAAGAAAGCUCUCCACUUUCAAGUCUACUAAUAUGAUGAAAAAGAUAUUUGAGGCCGUAGUGCUGAUGUGGGUACAUCUGAUUGAAGCAAUCU